rnacentral:snRNA from 10 species
GGAUGUGAGGGCAAUCUGGCUGUGACAUCUGUCACCCCAGUAAUCGUCAGGGUUGAUUUGGCUGAUCUGGCUGGCUAGGUGGGUGUCCCCUUCCUCCCUCACCACUCCAUGUGCGUCCCUCCCAAAGCUGUGUGCUCGGUCCAAGAGGAUGACCAUCCCCAAUAGAGGAGGACUCAUCUUCAGUCAAGGGUACACGAGUAGCUGCACUCCCCUGCUAGAACCUCCAAACAAGCUCUCAAAAUGCACUGUGUGACCUUACUAUAAUAUCCUCCAGUUCCAUCCCAAGGAUUUCACUCUUUUUUAUGGCUGAGUAGUAUU